rnacentral:lncRNA from 1 species
GCUGAUCUGGGUGAGGCUCGGUUCAUGUCAGCGGAGCCACUCAUGCAUCUGCAGUCAGCAGGCAGAUGAAUGGAAUCAGAACUUCAUGGCACUUGCAGAAAAUACCCACUUAAUUUUCAAGAAGAACUCUGUAAAAGAAUGCUUAUCAACUUCUCCAGAAUAAAAAUUGGGCCUAAAUAUGAAGACUUUGCCAUUAUAUGAACACUCUUCAACGCUUUGACUCCGUGAAGUUAAUAUCAUUGCCACCAUUCUUAAAGGCUUCUGAAGAGUAAUAAAUUGUCACCACUCCUGCAGUCUGCCUGAGUCUCAAGUCACACUUGAAAUGAGUUUAAUAUUUAGAGCCCCUUUCAAAAGUACUGUUGCUUGCAGACACUCAGUCGUAAACUUUCCAACAACAACAACAAAAAACGCGACAGUAGAGGCAAGAUUUCAUGAAGGCAGAAUCAGACUGUAAAUUUUCUUCCUGACUUUUGGAGACAAGGAAGACGGUUUCACCAAGCAAAAGCAAAAUUCAAACGAAAAGAGGGUGAGAUGCAAAUGUCGAGUGUACAUGUGCAUGGUGGCGGCUGAGGGUAGGUGAGCAUCUAAUUGCAUUCUGCAGGAGUUACUUCCAUCUAUGAAUCAUUUCCCCUUAGUGAGGAUAUUCUUCCUAGGCUCUGCCUUUCCUUUCAUUUGAUGGACACUGACAGUGGCCUCUCCUGUUCAAAAUGCACUCUGCAGGUGUUGCUUGGAAAGGGCUGCACAUCACUCAGUUUCCUUAUCAUCUCCAGGGACUGUUGUUCUUUGUCCCUUAUGGGACAAAGGCUCUGAUAAAACUUCAAGGCUCUGAUGUUGAAAUACGGAUUCCUGCAUUUAAAGAGCAUCACUGCUGCUCUUCCUGCCAGAGAGCUGGACUGCUAAUUUGACGCAGAGAUGCACCUUUUGGACUACAAGGGGUUAACCCAGUCUGCCAGCCAAGCCAGGAGAAAAGGAGCUGACUCCCAGAUGCCGCUGCCAGUAAAAUUAAUCCUGGAGCUUAGCUUCUGGAUGCUUCACCUGCCAGGUGGGCCCCAGUAGGUCUUUUUCAUUGCUGGGCCAGAUUAAAAGAGAAUGAUAAGCAGAAGUGGUUCCGCACCCAUCAGUGACAAGAAGGAAAAAAGCAAAAAACAUCAUUCACUGAGAAGGAACCUCCCGACUGCCUCCAGGUAUUAAUGCCCUGAAAACAGUGGACAGGGCACCCCAUGCUAUGUCCAGACAACCACCUGACCAGUCUGCCUGCUGGAAAAAGACUCGGUGAACAUCCGAAGCCACAGGGUCGGGCACACUGAGCAAGUCCAAGCUACCUUCAGGGUGCCACCUGUCAAGUUUUCACCUGAGCAGACAGGAUUUUCAAAUGUGUUCUUUGGUUUCAGGCUGCUGGUAACAUUUCUCAGGACACUUUUUUUUUUCCUGCCUUGUUUGUUUUGAACUUAACAGAAAAUCAAACUUUCCCAAAUCCAUGUCCUUCCUUGAUCUUCUAGUCUUAAGAAAUUCUUUAAGCUCCAGGCUUCCUUAUCUUCACAGGUCUUCAGUUUUUUAUUUAAAAGAAAAAAACUGGUAUUUUUAACAUGUUGUUUUAAAAAUUAGAAAUACAGUUACAUUAUUGGGGUAUUGCCCAGAGCUAGAAAACAGUGCAUUCCACCUAUCUAGAUGAAUCCCAUAGGGGAGCAAAGGGCUGGAAAAGCAGGAGAGAGAGCCAGAGGUACAGACGUGAUUUGCUGGGCAAGAACCUCAAAGAAAUAAUGAGGUCCCAGGAGAGGUGGAGCUCUGAUGUAGGGAAUUGAAUCCUUUUCCAAAGCUUUCAUAAGGUGUGUUUUUCUUUCUAUUGCCAGAUAAAGGUCUGUGUGGGGUAGAGGGGAAGAAAGAAGGAAGGGAGUGGAAGUAUUCGAUAAAAAAUGGAGGGGAAUGGUGCAAUGCUUUGCUUAGGUUUCAGGUAAGGUUUCCUUGAAAAGUACUAUGAGCAAUUUAAACAGUAAAAGUGUCUGGGAAUUAAAGAAUAAACCAGGACAGAGGCAUGCAUUUCAAGGGCAGUUAGCAGGGAUAAAAAGGGGGUUGCAAAGUAGCACUUUAUAAAUUUGAUCUCUGAAUAUGAAGCUACAUUUUCUAAGUCUACGAAGUAAUAUUUUGCACAUAGAAUAUCUAAAAGCUAAUGUAAAUUUUUUUAAUCUGUCUGAGUGUGUGUGUCCUCUGAAAAGAAUAGCUGCCAAGCCAAAUCUCAAGUUUUAGAUUCACUCCUUAUAGCAAAAUAAAAUAAUUAUUUCUAAAUGUGAAAUUCAAAAUUUUUCUUAAGCUGGGUGAAUCUAAGCAUGGUUAGUUGACUCUUUUACGGAGAUGACUAUUUUUUAAAAUCCACCUAUUCUAUAAGGAAAUGAUACCCUCUUCAACUUUCCCCCUGCUCACUGCUGUAUGUGAUUUCUUAUCAUUUUGGCAACAAUUUACCGCAGUUUUCCUAGGACAAUCCCAGGUGGUUCUAGUUAUCCUGAUGAAAUUAUUAACUCACCCUUUUUUAUUCUCAUAAGUGUCCUAGUUUGGAUGAUAAAUAACGCUGCUUUCCUACUAGAGAGGACUGCAAAGUUCUGAUGUACACAGCGUAAGGCCAGUGGGUCAGGAGACCAGGAGCUGUGGAAACCACAGCCCUACGAUGAAGCAGGUACCCCUGGGUAGGGCCCACGAGGAAGUGAAGGAAAUGCCCCAGCUGAGUUCCACCAGAGCUAGUGAGUACUGCAGUGUACCUUCACUCCUAGUGUAACACUUUGUGGGGUUUUCUUUUGUUUUUGUUUUCGAGACAGGGUUUCCCUCUGUCGCCCAGGCUGGAGUGCAAGUGGCCAGGUCUCAGCUCACUGAAGCCUCAACUUCCUGAGCUCAGGUGAUCCUCUCACCUCAGCCUCCUGAGCAGUUGGGGCUACAGGCACGGACCACCACUCCUGGCUAAUUUUUUUUUGUAUUUUUUGUGAAAAAAUAGGGUUUCACAUGUUGCCCAGGCUGGGCACAAACUCCUGGGCUCAAAGGAUCCUCCCACUUCUGCCUCCCAAAGUGCUGGGAUUACAGGCAGGAGCGACCGUGUCCAGCCAACACUUUUUACCUAAUAACGGCUAGUGAAAUGCUCAGAGUCCCCUCGACUAAAUUAUGCAGAAUUGAACAAAUGACCAGUGCCCACCUUGGGGCCUGCUGGGUGAAGAGGGAAGAAACACCGAAAAGUCAGGGCUGCGCCUACAACAAUAACCAGUGAAAGCUCAGUACGAGAGAAGGGAACAAGAGUCGACUCUGAAUUCCUAUAGCCUUUCCACUGUAAGCACACUCCCUUAGCUGCCGGCCUGAGAACCUCUGGAAUGUAUUUUAUUAAAGAGUAAACCAAAAAAAUUAGUAGCUUGUUUUUACUGAAUUUACUAUAUCGGUAAAUUUUCUCAUACCCCUACCAAAAGGAAUCUACAUGCUCAAGAUAAAAAGAAUGGGCAUUCUAUAAAAGAUAUGUCCUUCCCUACCCAUUAUAUUCAAAAUGUCUAUUUUUUUUAAUGGAGUAAAUGGAAGAAACAAGAGUAGAAAUUUUGCAAUGAAAGAAACUGCUAUUUAACACUAAUGAGAU